AUGUCUUCUAGUUUUUUUUGGAGGUCUGGCCUGCUCAAUGAUAAUUUUAAAUAGCCGCAGUAUUUUAACUGUGCAAAGGUAGCAUAAUAAUUAGUCUUUUAAUUGAGGUCUGGAAUGAAUGGUUAGACGGAAAAUAUACUUUAUUUAUGAAAUUUUUUUGAAUUUAUUUUUUAAGUUAAAAUUCUUAAAUUUUUUAGAGGGACGAUAAGACCCUAUAGAUCUUUAAAAUAAUAUUUUUUUUUUUUUUUUUGUUGUUUUAAUUUAAAAUUUUUUUUAUUUUUUGGUUGGGGUGACUAGCAAAAAUUUAAACUUUGUUUUUUUUUUACAUUUAUUUAUGUUUUUUUGGAUCCUUUAUUUAGAUUAAAAGAUAAAGAUACCUUAGGGAUAACAGCGUUAUUUAUUUGGAGAGUUCUUAUCGAUAAAUAAGUUUGCGACCUCGAUGUUGGAUUAAUUUUUGUUGUGGGGUAGGUUUUACAAAACUAGGUCUGUUC
rnacentral:rRNA from 1 species